AAUCAACGCUGGCGGCAUGCCUAACACAUGCAAGUCGAACGGGAAAGUGGGAGCAAUCCCAUGAGUAUAGUGGCGCACGGGUGAGUAACACGUGACUAACCUACCCUCGAGUGGGGAAUAACCCCGGGAACCGGGGCUAACACCGCAUAAUACCGCAAGGUCAAAUGCGCAAGCAGCUUGAGGAGGGGGUCGCGGUUGAUUAGCUAGUUGGUAGGGUAAUGGCCUACCAAGGCAGNGAUCAAUAGCCGGCCUGAGAGGGCGCACGGCCACACUGGAACUGAAACACGGUCCAGACUCCUACGGGAGGCAGCAGUGGGGAAUUUUGCGCAAUGGGGGAAACCCUGACGCAGCAAUGCCGCGUGGAGGAUGAAGUCCUUUGGGAUGUAAACUCCUUUCGAUCGGGAAGAUAAUGACGGUACCGGAAGAAGAAGCCCCGGCUAACUCUGUGCCAGCCGCCGCUGUAAC
rnacentral:rRNA from 1 species